rnacentral:rRNA from 1 species
UCCUGACUGACCGAUAGUGAACCAGUACCGUGAGGGAAAGGCGAAAAGAACCCCGGCGAGGGGAGUGAAAAAGAACCUGAAACCGUGUACGUACAAGCAGUGGGAGCACGCUUAGGCGUGUGACUGCGUACCUUUUGUAUAAUGGGUCAGCGACUUAUAUUCUGUAGCAAGGUUAACCGAAUAGGGGAGCCGAAGGGAAACCGAGUCUUAACUGGGCGUUAAGUUGCAGGGUAUAGACCCGAAACCCGGUGAUCUAGCCAUGGGCAGGUUGAAGGUUGGGUAACACUAACUGGAGGACCGAACCGACUAAUGUUGAAAAAUUAGCGGAUGACUUGUGGCUGGGGGUGAAAGGCCAAUCAAACCGGGAGAUAGCUGGUUCUCCCCGAAAGCUAUUUAGGUAGCGCCUCGUGAAUUCAUCUCCGGGGGUAGAGCACUGUUUCGGCAAGGGGGUCAUCCCGACUUACCAACCCGAUGCAAACUGCGAAUACCGGAGAAUGUUAUCACGGGAGACACACGGCGGGUGCUAACGUCCGUCGUGAAGAGGGAAACAACCCAGACCGCCAGCUAAGGUCCCAAAGUCAUGGUUAAGUGGGAAACGAUGUGGGAAGGCCCAGACAGCCAGGAUGUUGGCUUAGAAGCAGCCAUCAUUUAAAGAAAGCGUAAUAGCUCACUGGUCGAGUCGGCCUGCGCGGAAGAUGUAACGGGGCUAAACCAUGCACCGAAGCUGCGGCAGCGAUGCUUAUGCGUUGUUGGGUAGGGGAGCGUUCUGUAAGCCUGCGAAGGUGUGCUGUGAGGCAUGCUGGAGGUAUCAGAAGUGCGAAUGCUGACAUAAGUAACGAUAAAGCGGGUGAAAAGCCCGCUCGCCGGAAGACCAAGGGUUCCUGUCCAACGUUAAUCGGGGCAGGGUGAGUCGACCCCUAAGGCGAGGCCGAAAGGCGUAGUCGAUGGGAAACAGGUUAAUAUUCCUGUACUUGGUGUUACUGCGAAGGGGGGACGGAGAAGGCUAUGUUGGCCGGGCGACG